CCCGUGGUAGCUCAGUUGGUAGAGCGGAGGACUGUAGAAAAAGCUGAUGGCUAUCCUUAGGUCUCUGCUUCGAAUCCGGCUCGCGGGA